rnacentral:rRNA from 1 species
GAUGAACGCUGGCGGCGUGCCUAAUACAUGCAAGUCGAGCGAACAGACGAGGAGCUUGCUCCUUUGACGUUAGCGGCGGACGGGUGAGUAACACGUAGGUAACCUACCUAUAAGACUGGGGUAACUUCGGGAAACCGGAGCUAAUACCGGAUAAUAUUUCGAACCGCAUGGUUCGAUAGUGAAAGAUGGCUUUGCUAUCACUUAUAGAUGGACCUGCGCCGUAUUAGCUAGUUGGUAAGGUAACGGCUUACCAAGGCAACGAUACGUAGCCGACCUGAGAGGAUGAUCGGCCACACUGGAACUGAGACACGGUCCAGACUCCUACGGGAGGCAGCAGUAGGGAAUCUUCCGCAAUGGGCGAAAGCCUGACGGAGCAACGCCGCGUGAGUGAUGAAGGUCUUCGGAUCGUAAAACUCUGUUAUUAGGGAAGAACAAACGUGUAAGUAACUGUGCACGUCCUGACGGUACCUAAUCAGAAAGCCACGGCUAACUACGUG